UUCUUGGGUUAGUAGUUUGAGAAUUAUCUAAUCUCCUUUUUGCUAUUCUCCCUAAUUAAAGAAAUGGAUAGUUUUUAUUUUUCUGGUAAUGAAUGAACACGGGCAUCUCGCUGGCACAGUGGAUAGAGUGCUAACCUGAGUUGAGAGGCCCUGAGUUCAAAUCCAGCAUCAGACAUUUGCAUGACUCUCGACAAUUUCCUCAUCCUGUAAAAAUGAGCUGGAGAAGAAAAUGGCAAACUCUUAUUGGUUUUUUUGCCAAGAAAGAGGAUUUUCUUUCUCCUCUCCUAAAGGGCUAUAUUUGUUUCUUUGUUCUGUUAUACUUAAAUUUCCUAUUUCUGGCUGACCUGUAUAAUCAUGCUUCUUCUCUGCAUAUGGCACAGGAAUUUUGACUUGGACAUCUUUCUGCAUGAGAAAGGAAGACCGAGGAAAAGGAAUGGAAGUUUUUCCUAAAAGGCUAUCAAGACAAAAGAAGGGGAAUGGCGCUAGUAGGACACCCACCAAUGGAAAAUCGCGUUCAGAAAAGGUACGAGGCGAAUCUGGGUGGGGGAGGCUGAACUUGAAAGCUAGAAAGGCUCUGCCCCAACUUGGUUUGCCCCUUCUUCUCCACCUACUGAGUCAUCCAGGUUUGGAGUCUAAAUAAACAAGGAAGGCCAUUAUUGGCAGUUGAACAGUGUUUUCUAAACAUUCCAGGCUCCCCCUCAGUACAAGGGCAUUAGAGACCUCAUUUGCAUAAUAGAACUUAGGCUGAAACUUAUACCCAAGAAGGCUUAGAGGGUACCCACUCUCUCCAGCUUUUAUUUUUGUUUCUGCUACUUCUUCAAACUGGAGGAGACUCCACGGCUCAGCCCCAAAUAACCCAACUUUCUCUAUCUGCAAACAUCUGUGAAUCCAGGAGGGGAAUUCAAACCAGAACAGAAGAGGAACUUCUCCAUUCCUACCAAGGCUGGACAGUGCCCAACAGAACCCAGGGAUGAUGGAGGCAGGCAUCCUAACUGACGUUCCAGCAUCUGUGGAAGCAGCAGCGCUAUUAGGAUUUGCCACACUGCAGAAGCACCUUUGACCAGUGAUGGCUAGCACCUUUUCUGUCCCCCUGAUAGUGAGAGACAAAAGAAAGAAAGUAAAUAUAUGCACUUCAUAAUUUCUCCUGUAUGAAGGAAGAUUCAGAGCCUUUGGAAAGUAAAUGGACACCAACUGAGAUAUGUAAUUUCCAAGGAAAGCCAGAGCUGGGAAAUGUUUGGAAUGUCACAUUUUUUAAUGUAAAUCACUAUCACUUUUUUGAUUUUGCUAUGCAUUUUCUCAUUCAAUUUAACUAUUGCUUAAUCACGAUUUUUUAGGUUUCAGCUACUGAAACAACAAUAGAUCUAGAAGCAAUUGUAUCAGCUGAUAGGCUGGGGCUGAGACAUUGAAUUCUCAUGAUUGAUAGAUGCUUUUAAUCAAACAAGUCUAGAAUCUAACAGAAAGAGUCAGAGUACAGAUAAAAGUGAAUAGUGUCUUUUCCUUUGAUCUAAAAAGUCAUUAUACAUCUAGUCCUGGCUAGAGCAGUUCUUAUGUGUGUUUUUGUGAACUGAAUGUUGUUUCUACUGUCAGAAAAAGGUCAGUGGGAGGAGGAACAAGAGAAAAUUUUGGGAUAGAACAGAGAGAAGUAUAAACAAGGAGAUUUAGUAGUAGUCAGAGGUUGAAUCUGGGAGGCUGGGGGAGUACUUUGAGAAGAAAGAAGGAAGGAAAGAAGAAAGGAAGGAGAAGGAAAAAAGAGUGGAAGGAAAGGAGGGAGGAAGAAGGGAAAGAAGGAAAUAAAAAAAGAAAGAGAGGCAGGAAGAAUGGAGGGAGGAAGGAAGAAGACUGUGCAUUCAGAGAUGCCUUCAAAAAGGGAUGCUCCAGUAGGGAUCAGAAGAAAAAGUUAAAUCAUGGUGUUUAGUGAUUCUGUAAUGAAGAGGACAAAGCUACAGAACUGAUAUUCAUGAAUUAUAAGACUGCACAUAUUACUCUCUGAUCAAAAAACCUCAGUGGUUCCCUAUUACCUACUGAAUCAACUACAGACUUCUGUCUACAGGUAGAGCUCUUCAGUUUUUUCUUCCAGAGAUUUCACUCUACUUUUCCUUCCACGUUGCAUCCUAUGAAUCUGCACCACUGGCUGUGGCCUGUACAAACAUUCCAUUUUCAGGACCUACAUGUGCAAGAAUGUUUGUGGCAGCUCUUUUUUAUAUUAGCAAGGAACUGGAAACUGAUGCUCAUCAGCUGGAGAAUGGCUGAAUAAAUUGUGGUAUAUGAAUGUUAUGGACUAUUACUAUUAUAUAAAAAAUGAUCAGCUUUUUCAGAAAGGCCUGGAGAGACUUACAUGAACUGAUGCUGAGUGAGGUGAGUAGAACCAGGAGAACAUUGUACACGGCAACAAGAAGAUUAUGUGAUAAUCAACUGUGAUGGAUGUGGCUCUUUUCAACAAUGGGGUGAUUCAGACCAAUUCUAAUCGAUUGGUGAUUGAGAGAGCCAUCUGUAUACAGAGAGAGUACCACAGGCACUGAGUGUAGAUCAUAACAUAGUAUUUUCACCUUUUUGUUACUGCUUAUUUGCCUUUUGUUUUCUCUCUCAUUUUUUUCUCUUUUUGGUCUGAUUUUUCUUAUGCAGCAGGACAUUGUGAAAAUAUAUAUAUAGAAGAAUUGCACAGAUUUAACCUAUAUUGGAUUACUUGCUAUCUAGGGGUGAGGGAUAGGGGAAGGGAGGGAGAAAAAUUUGGAACACAAGGUUUUGUGAGGGUGAAUAUUAAAAAUUAUCUUUGCAUAUAUUUUGAAAAUAUAAAGCUAUUAUUAAAAAAAAAACCUUGUGUUCCAAAUUUUUCUUCUAUACCUAUUUCCACAUUUAUCAUGCUACAUAAGAAAAAUAAAAUUAAAAGAGGGAAAAUGAAAAAGAAAAAAAAACAAGUAAGCAAAUAAUAAUAAAAAAAGUAAAAAAUAUUAUGAUGUGAUCCAAUUCAGUCUCCAUGGUUCUCUCUCUGGAUACAUUUGGCUCUCUCCAUCACAAGUCUGUUGGAAUUGGCUUGGAUCACCUCACUGCUGAAAAAAGCCUCAUCCAUCAGAAUUGAUCAUCACAUAAUCUUGUUGCCAUGUACAAUGGAACACAUUUUGCAGGGGUGAAUAUUGAAAACUACCUUUGUAUGUAUUUUGAAAAUAAAGAACUAUUAUUAAAGGAAAAAACAAAACAAAACAAAACAAAAAAACCCAAAACAAAAAUUCCAUUUUCUGCCCCCCAUGUUUUGCUGGAAGACUUUCUCCCAUCAUGUUCUUCUCCUGCCAUUCUUGGCUUCCUCUGAGGCUUAGCACAAGAGCUGCUUUCUACACAAUAACUUUUCCGAAUCCCCUCUUCCUGUUGUUGGUACUCUUUCUUCCCUCACUCCACCCCAAGUUAUUUUGUAUUUUUACAGGGACAAGGGAUGGUUCCUGGCCAGUUGAUUUCCUCUACUACCACUAACACCCCUAUCUUCUCCCUUCAGUCAGUUGUUAACAUCAUAGGAGACAGGUGAGAGAUGAGGUGUUAAUGUGUUAAGAGAAGUGCAAAGAUGUAUCACUUUAAAGAUGGCCCGCUCUUCCAUCACGUCUCUGUCCUCAGCUUUCUAUACAAGAGUCUUUUCUCCUUUCAGGUACCUCUUCCAGAAAAGAAUCUGGAAUCCCAUGUCUUUAUUGAAAUUGAAAGUUGAAGGCCAGAAAGUCAGGGUUUCUCCUCAAGUUCCUACCAACUCUUGCCCCUCAUGCAGGCAGAGUAAUCAUUCUCCACCAAUGAGAAGAAUCUUAUACAAAUGGACUUUGAGUCCCUCGUUAUGUGUUUAUAAUCAUGAAUUUGGGAGGGGAGUCUAGUCUCCAGGCCCAUGUUAAUUUCCACAUUGUUUAAGGACUAAGACACAUGGAUUGCCAUAAAAUCAAAAGGAUGUUUGAACCUCCUUGAGUUAUUAGAGAAUUGUGCAGAUGACAACUGAUCGAAUAUAGGGAAUGAGGGGGGAGAAGAAAAUGUGAGAUUGGCUCUGAAGUUGCAAACCUGAAUGAAUAAAAGUAAAUAGCAGUGUCCAUAGAAGCAGUUUCCAUGAAUGUUCCAUUCUGUUUAUUUAAUGAGCUUCACUCAGUGCCUGGGCAAUGGAAACAUGUCAUUUUCCUAUUAGCCUGACCAGGGACAUGUUCAUUCAUACUCAAAGCAGACCCUCUGCGGCCGGCUGCUCUGAAGAAAUGGACCAGCACUGGGGACAGUGGCUGAGAACCCCGACUGAGAACACAGUGAACUUCUCACUGAGGAUGGAAAUUCUACUGCAUUUCAUCCUUUAGACUUGCUCCACUAAAAUCUGAGUGCCCUCCCAUAGGGGGUUCAGAAACUUUAAAUUUCUUCCUAGAGUUUUAGCCAUUACCUCCUUGUUCAGACCCAUAAAGGCCUGCCCUUUGAGACUCAGUAGGGGGUCCUAAAAAAACCCACAAUGAACUCUUAUCCUCCAUGUGGGGACUGUCGGGAGGCCUGAAAGCGUUCUGAAUCCAGCCUGCCCUGACUUUUUUUUCAGAGGGGUUCUUUCCCAGCUCAGCCAUAGUCCAGGACUCAAACC